rnacentral:lncRNA from 1 species
UGCUAAUGCAAAUAUUUUAUUUGUAAUGGCGGAGAUGGAAAUGUCCUUUCACAUCAUCUCCUGCCAAUGCAAAGUAGGCCCCUGACGUCUGCUUAGGAUGGCUCUGUCCAUGCAGUACUGCUUUCACACUGUUGGGUGAAAUUCAGUAGUGUUGGGGGUGGGGGGAAACACUUUACUGUAGAAGUUAGUUAUUCUGAUGUGACUGUCCUAAUAAACACAGCAGCAAGGUCAUGUGUCACCACAGCCAUUUUCAGGUGACACAAUUACAUCUUAGAUGACUCAGCAGAGGUGUCAAAACCACAUAAACUUUCUGUACAACACUCAAAAAUGCUUCACGAAUCUUUGAUGAUAUUUAGGUUGAUAUGUAAAUUAUCUAGCCCAGAGUGUUCAAAGAGUCACUGUACAGCCACAUCAGAGAUCAAAAGCUUUGUGAGUUGUUACUCUACUGAACUUCAAAGUCUAAGAAAAAUCAUGAAAAAAUUUAAAUGAAAAUUAUUUUAUACUUAAUACCAGGAACUCUUGAAAAAUAAAAGGUGCGAAGUCUUGGCUGAACUAAAGCUGUUCUUGUUUAAAAGUCCUCGCCUGCAGAUGCUCCUGACUCUUAGUCCCUGUGAAGGCACAGAUGAAGAGGAAUUCUCACAACGCAACCACGGCAUGAAACCAAAACUUCACCUAUUGCCAAAAUCUGAGAGGAAGUUUUGGUAACUGGAAGAACGGUGAGAAGGGAUUUUAAAGUGUGGGAAAUAGACUCACAAUUUUAUGAUUUUUACUGAUUUUAUCUCCUUGAAAGGGGUAGAGAAAUGAUUUUUUUUUUUCUUCUUCAGGUCACCUUAUCACUUCUUCCCUCCAGGUGCACUCCCUUGAGAGGGUCCGAACCACAAAAACCUGGGACAGAGCUACACUGUUCUUCUUGUCACCCCCCAAGUCCCACAUACAUGGAUGAGAAGAAAAAUGGAUACCUUUGGAACACAGUAAAGACUAUGUUUAUAUCUUGUAAAAUAUUGUGACUUUUUUUUACAUCAGUUUUCCACAUUAGACCCUGGCCAUGUAUGGCAGAGACUAUCUUAUUUACUUUAGUAUCUACGUAAUACCUGCCUGUCUAUAUAGGGACAAUGUAGGCAUUGUCCCAGAAUGUAUCAGAUAUUGGAACUCUGCUGGUAGAGUAGUUCUAUAGAUGGAGAGAUGAUGACAUAAGAUAGAAAUACAUAUGGUCAAAUAGAUACGAAGUUCAGGGUUUUUGAAGACAGUGUCCUGGCCUGGAUUCCUUUGAACUCAUGUUCUAAACCUCAAUUUCUUCCUUAUAUAAUAGUCCAGAAAGUACUGUGGAAAGGAAAUAGGUACCUAGAGAGCUCGAGCCUAUUUUCUUUAUUCAGCAGACCAACAUAUUCCCGAGAUCAUUGCUCCCAUAGUCUUUACUCAUUAGUUAUACAACUGGGAGCUCUUAGAGUGGCCCAGCUGCGCUGAGGCUAAGCUCAAAGAACUUGGAGAGAUCAUGACAGUGGACAGUUAAAUAUUUAAAGAUAAUAAAAGGAGGAAGGAUUAGUACUACAAUAAAAUGCCAUUAAACUUUAAAAAAAAAUCAAAUCAGCAUAUUUCUGUGUAAGGUUGGUAGUUCAUUUUACAUCCCUUAAUCUGUAGGAUGAUAUUUGUUCCGCUUGGGAAAACACUUCACCAAACAUAUUAGAGUUAAUUGCAUUUAGCUAUUUUAGAUUGUGAAAUGAAUGCGCAUUGAAUAUUAGACUGUUCGUACCACAGUGUUUUGCAGAAAAUGAAAAGCAAAAGGAC